rnacentral:rRNA from 1 species
AUUGAACGCUGGCGGCAUGCUUUACACAUGCAAGUCGAACGGUAACAGGCCGCAAGGUGCUGACGAGUGGCGAACGGGUGAGUAAUGCAUCGGAACGUGCCCAGUCGUGGGGGAUAACGCAGCGAAAGCUGUGCUAAUACCGCAUACGAUCUGUGGAUGAAAGCGGGGGACCGUAAGGCCUCGCGCGAUUGGAGCGGCCGAUGUCAGAUUAGGUAGUUGGUGGGGUAAAGGCCUACCAAGCCGACGAUCUGUAGCUGGUCUGAGAGGACGACCAGCCACACUGGGACUGAGACACGGCCCAGACUCCUACGGGAGGCAGCAGUGGGGAAUUUUGGACAAUGGGCGCAAGCCUGAUCCAGCAAUGCCGCGUGCAGGAAGAAGGUCUUCGGGUUGUAAACUGCUUUUGUACGGAACGAAACGGUCUGGGUUAAUACCCUGGGCUAAUGACGGUACCGUAAGAAUAAGCACCGGCUAACUACGUGCCAGCCGCCGCUGUAACAC